rnacentral:tRNA from 1 species
GGUCCCGUAGUUCAACGGAUAGAAUAGAAGUUUCCUAAACUUUAGAUGCGAGUUCGAUUCUCACCGGGACCA